AUUGGGGUGCAGCUCGGUGGUAGAGCGUGUGCUUAGUUAGCAAGUGUGAAUUCCUGCGUUCGAUCCCCAGCACCAAAA
rnacentral:tRNA from 1 species